GGAAAAUGUGUGUGAGAGAGAGAGAGAGAGAGAAUUUGUACAGUCCUGUCAUGAUUGAAAGUAAUGAUUCAUGGUAAUGACAGAGGGUCCACUCCAUACAUAAAAACAUACUCUGAAAAGCGCACACAGACCCUCCCCUCUUCCUGACAGGUCUCUGAUUGAAGGGUCCCCUCUCCCCUUCCUGACAGGUCUCUGAUUGAAGGGUCCCCUCUCCCCUUCCUGACAGGUCUCUGAUUGAAGGGUCCCCUCUCCCCUUCCUGACAGGUCUCUGAUUGAAGGGUCCCCUCUCCUCUUCCUGACAGGUCUCUGAUUGAAGAGUCCCCUCUCCCCUUCCUGACAGGUCUCUGAUUGAAGGGUCCCCUCUCCCCUUCCUGACAGGUCUCUGAUUGAAGGGUCCCCUCUCCCCUUCCUGACAGGUCUCUGAUUGAAGGGUCCCCUCUCCCCUUCCUGAAAGGUCUCUGAUUGAAGGGUCCCCUCUCCCCCUUUCCUCAGAGCAUGUCUGCCACAUGGCCUAUUAUUUAUACCCACAUCAUCCCUGGCAUGGAACAUCUGGCAUAGCUAGGACCUUUUUAUAACCCACCGGUUUCCCUUACACAACCAAUGGGUCCUGUUCCCACCAACCCCCCAGUCCCAGAUAGAAC